rnacentral:rRNA from 1 species
UACGUAGGGGGCCAGCGUUGUCCGGAUUUAUUGGGCGUAAAGAGCGUGUAGGCGGCCAGGUAGGUCUGGUGUGAAAACUCGAGGCUCAACCUCGAGAUGUCAUCGGAAACCAUCUGGCUAGAGUCCGGAAGAGGAGAGUGGAAUUCCUGGUGUAGCGGUGAAAUGCGCAGAUAUCAGGAAGAACACCCAUGGCGAAGGCAGCUCUCUGGGACGGUACUGACGCUGAGACGCGAAAGCGUGGGGAGCGAACAGG